rnacentral:rRNA from 1 species
UACAUGACUCUCGGCAAUGGAUAUCUUGGCUCUUGCAUCNAUGAAAANCGCANCGAAAUGCGAUACGUGGUGCGAAUUGCANAAUCCCGUGAACCAUCAAGUCUUUGAACGCAAGUUGCGUCCGAGGCCACACGGCCAAGGGCACGUCCGCCUGGGCGUCAAGC